CCUGGCCCAUUUCAUUCCUCUAACAAUGUGUAUCUGCUAAGUAUUCUUUAGAGGAGCGAAAGAGUGAUAUCUUUCCAGGCAACAGGUUGAGGCAGUGGAUUCAGUAAAGCAGUAAAGGCAUUUAUGUAAGUGCGCCUACAAUGGAAAGUGAAUGCAAGGCCUUUAUGUAGGUGCGUCAUGGGGCCAGUGAAUGUGUGUGCGUGAAUGUAGACUUGUAAAUUUAUGUAUUUAAGUUAAGCUAUUUUCAUAUGUAUAUGGAGCCAACUUAAUUUCCUAUGAUUCACUUUAAUAGAAUAUUGCAUUGUAUUAAUAAAGUAUUGAUG
rnacentral:lncRNA from 1 species